UACGAGGGGGCGAGCGUUGUUCGGAAUUAUUGGGCGUAAAGGGUGCGUAGGCGGUUUGGUAAGUCUGAUGUGAAAUCUAUGGCUCAACUCAUAGUCUGCAUCGGAAACUGCCGGGCUUGAGUGUGGGAGAGUGAGUGGAAUUCCUGGUGUAGCGGUGAAAUGCGUAGAUAUCAGGAGGAACACCUGUGGCGAAAAGCGGCUCACUGGACAUAACUGACGCUGAUGCACGAAAAAGCUAGGGGGGGAGCAAAACAGG
rnacentral:rRNA from 1 species